rnacentral:rRNA from 1 species
AGUGAACGCUGGCGGUAGGCCUAACACAUGCAAGUCGAACGGCAGCACAGUAAGAGCUCGCUCUUACGGGUGGCGAGUGGCGGACGGGUGAGGAAUACAUCGGCAACUACUUUUUCGUGGGGGAUUACGUAGGGAAACUUACACUAAUACCGCAUACGACCUACGGCUUAAAGCAGGGGAUCUUCGCACCUUACGUGAUUGAAUGAGCCGAUUUCGGAUUAGCUAGUUGGUCGGGUAAAGUCCCACCAAGGCGACGAUGCGUAGCCGGUCUGAGAGGAUGAUCAGCCACACUGGAACUGAGACACGGUCCAGACUCCUACGGGAGGCAGCAGUGGGGAAUAUUGGACAAUGGGCGCAAGCCUGACGCAGCCAUACCGCGUGUGUGAAGAAGGCCUUCGGGUUGUAAAACCCUGUUGCUGGGAAAGAAAAGCAGCAGGUUAAUACCCCGAGAUUCUGACGGUACCCAAUGAAUAAGCAACGGCUAACUUCGUG